UCGCGGCCAAUCAGCUUGUUGGUGAGGUAACGGCUCACCAAGGCGAUGACGCGUAGCUGGUCUCAGCGGAUGAUCAGCCACACGGGGACUGAGACACGGCCCGGACUCCUACGGGAGGCAGCAUGGGGAAUUUUGGACAAUGGGCGAAAGCCUGAUCCAGCGACGCCGCGUGCGGGAGGAAGCCCCUCGGGGUGUAAACCGUUGUCAGGAGGGAAGAAAACGAUCGGACGAAUAAUCCGGUUACUUGACGGUACCUCCAGAGGAAGCGCCGGCUAACUCCGUGCCAGCAGCCGCGGUAAUACGGAGGGCGCAAGCGUUGUCCGGAAUCACUGGGCGUAAAGGGGGCGCAGGCGGCUUGCAAAGUCCUGUGUGAAAUCCCACGGCUCAACCGUGGAAGGCCACAGGAUACUGGCGAGCUCGAGACGGGUAGAGGCGAGUGGAAUUCCCGGUGUAGCGGUGGAAUGCGUAGAUAUCGGGAAGAACACCAGUGGCGAAGGCGACUCGCUGGGCCCGUUCUGACGCUCAGGCCCGAAAGCGUGGGGAGCAAACAGGAUUAGAUACCCUGGUAGUCCACGCCGUAAACGAUGGGCACUAGGUGCUGGAGAGUGUGACCUCCUCGGUGCCGUAGCUAACGCGUUAAGUGCCCCGCCUGGGGAGUACGG
rnacentral:rRNA from 1 species